GGCCCCAAGUCUUUAACCAUGUCCACAACAGAACCUUUCCACAGACAUCCUGGCCGUUCUCUGAACUCGGGUUCCUACCCCCUGUGGAAGACUUCUCCGUUUCUCAGCAUAUAUGAUAAAAAGAGCAAUCCUUCAGAGCCUGCAGGAGUUAUCUGGUCAUUAGGAGUUGCUGCUUCUCUGGAACUAGAUUCCAAGCACCCUGAAAGCCCAAAUACCAUUCUACGUCUCCUCUUUCUGCCUAUUGCCCUCUGCCCAUUUUUUUUUUUGAGAUUGUAUUUAUUUAUUUAUUCAUGAGAGACACAGAGUGAGAAGCAGAAACACAGGCAGAGGGAGAAGCAGGCUCCAUGCUGGGAGCCCAACGUGGGACUCGAUCCCAGGACCCCUGGAUCACGCCCUGAGCCAAAGGCAGACGCUCAACCACUGAGCCUCCCAGGCGUCCCAUUAUGGCCCAGGUCGAGCACCUGGCAGAUAAUGCUCAUCAAGUAUAAUGUGUCCAGCGUGUAAUGCCCCUGGAGCAUAAUGUGGGUACCGUAUAUUGCAUGUAGCUUGUCAUGCCUGCAGUGUGUGACACACAUAGUUCAGGGGCAUUUAGUGUAUGAUGCUUCCAGACCAUACCGCACCCGGCAUGAUAUAAUGUGAGUGUCGUUGCACAGAUGGCCAGACAGGCACCAUCACCACUCCGUUCAUCUUCCUCUGUCGCUAUGCAAAUUUUACGUCGAGAUCUUUUACUAUUUUUUUUUUUUUUAACCAUGUGCAGCCUACACCAGCAGCUCACCUUCCUUUCAAUCUUUUUAAGGGCAGUUCUUCAGGGACCUCAAAUAGCCAAAGGAAAAGCCCAGUACAUUCUCCAAUACUUUGCCCCGUCUCGCCCCCACCUGCUGGUGCAGCACCAUUUGCCACGGCCUGUGAGGUCAUCUCUGCAAGGCGUGCUGUUUCCUCCAGCUCCUUGGCUCUCUGGCUGCGACUCAGUGUUUAUGAUCGCACCAACGUGUGAGGAACGCGGUGUCGAAGAACAAGGCCCAGGCUGGCACCAAGGAUCUAAAUCUGUUUCCCAAGUCUGAUCCUUGGUCUCCAAGUCCACAGAGAUAUCCACUCCUGAACCCCAUCAAAUGCUGUGCCAGAUCUCUGGAGGUAGGCAUGCAGUUUAGAUCUCCAUAAACCCCAUAUUCUGACAUUGCUUUGUAUCACUCUUCAAUCAUGCUAUGAGUUUCUGAAAGGUAGAAAUAUAUCUUUGUAUUUACCAAGUACAAUCUCUGACACUUGAGGAUAUUGAGUAAAUGUUAGACAUGCCCAGAAAAGGCAGAAGCAUAAAAUCUCAGGGCUCUACCCAGAUUCUUGUGGUUUAUGAUCGUAGCUGAUCCCGCUCCUAGGACACAAGAGUCACUCCAGUAUGAUGUCUCCAAACACUGCCAUGUUUUUGAGGAAAAGAUGAGGAAGAGGAAAGAUGAGGAAGAUGAGGAAAAGCCACUUAGCUUUGAAGCUUUUGUUUAUGACAUGAAGAGAACAGGUAUCAGCCAAACAAGGCAUGAGUAUAGAAAAUGACACUGUAGUCUCCUACACUUAGAUAGAAGGAGGAUAUGAGGGGACAGGCAGCCUGGAACACUUGUACAGCUCCAGGUAUAUUGCUCCACUGUGUCCCUGAACUUCAGAGAACUCGAACGACCAACAUGGCAUAGGCAUUCACUUAGUUUCUGAAGAAUGGAAGCAAUAGUGACAAUGAGUAGGCGCUCAGAACCCAGGUUUGGAAGGAAACUUGGAGAUCAUCAAAUCUAUUGGUUUCACUUUUCUCUUGAGGACUUGGAGGCCCACAGAUGAACAAUAACAUACUCAGGGUCACAAAAUAGUUGGUAGCUAACCACAGGGAAGCUCUUGCUUUGAGAGAUGCUUAUGGGUUGCAAGGCCUCUCCUUUAGGGAAAGACCCAUAAAAGGUCUACAUCUUCUACAUAAGAACCUAAUGUGUCAUAUAAUCAUAGAAUAUCAUUUUGCAAAGUAUGAACAUGUAACUUACAAAAAAUGUAACUUGCAGAAAGACCUCCCUGAGACUAAUCACACAAACACAUGCAUACACACUAUCUCUCUCUUCUAAAUCUCCUUCUGAGAAACUUGAAUAUAGCUCUGAUGCCCCUCUAUCUUGGCUGUGUUAGAAACAUCCCAGAGAUAGUGGACAGGGUAGUGUGUCUGGGAUUAGUAAAGUUCAUUCUCAUUCUCUCUCUCUCUCUCUCUCUCUCUCUCUUCAUUUGUGUAGUUAUUCUACAUUCAGGUAUUUAGGGAUCAUAUAUCUAUGCCUACUGCUAUAAAAAUUGCUGGGAUUCAUAAUAGAACUUCCCUAAUCCAAUAUAGCUAUGCUCUCUAUCUUUGGGGAAUUUCAUGGUUUAACAGUCAACAGUAGACCUAGCAUUCAGGAGACCGUACAAAGCAGAGUAUGAUUAAGUGCUAAAAUAGGUAGUUGGUCCCAGAGGUGCUCAGAGGUAGGUGAACUUCCUGGUGACUGACACAAGCAGGGAAGGAGGCAUAGAAGGGGCAAAGUAGGCAGCCAAGAAAGGUCUGGUUUCAUAGAAGCAGAGGAAGAAAUUAAUUCUUUUUUUUUUUCAAGAUUUUAUUUAUGGGGCACCUGGGUGGUCAGUGGUUGAGCAUCUUCCUUUGGCUCAGGUCAUGAUCCUGGGGUCCUAGGAUUGAGUCCCACAUCAGGCUCCCUGCAUGGAGCCUGCUUCUCCCUCUGCCUACAUCUCUGCCUCUCUCUCUCUUUGUGUCUCUCAUGAAUAAAUAAAUAACACCUUUUAAAAAAUAAUAAAGA
rnacentral:lncRNA from 12 species